GUCCCGUUACUUGAUCUUUGAAUGUUCUUUUUUUUGUGAUUUUUUGGCGUAUGCGAUCUCGAAGCAUAUACAAACAAGGUUGACGGUUGGAUCGUUGAAACUAGUUUUGUACAAUGUGUAUCCCAUCAAAACAAUAGAUUCAUUAACACUUAGAGUUUAUUUAUAUUUUCAUUAACUAUAACAUAAGAUUUGUGGUAUCCACUUGUGUAAAUAUUUUAAAUUGACGAUCGAAUUAGUUCAUUGUAUUCAUAUAGGAUCAAUGAGUGUAGCUGUAAAAAAUCAUCAAAAUCGGAGUUAAAAUAACCGUUAAAUCGUGAUGUUUCGUUUAUAACCGUCGAAAAGUUUUGUCCCGUUACUUGAUCUUUGAAUGUUUUUUUUUUGUGAUUUUUUGGCGUAUGCGAUCUCGAAGCAUAUACAAACAAGGUUGACGGUUGGAUCGUUGAAACUAGUUUUGUACAAUGUGUAUCCCAUCAAAACAAUAGAUUCAUUAACACUUAGAGUUUAUUUAUAUUUUCAUUAACUAUAACAUAAGAUUUGUGGUAUCCACUUGUGU
rnacentral:lncRNA from 1 species